rnacentral:snoRNA from 1 species
ACUUGGCCUUAGCAAAGCCACAGCUGCUUCUAGAUAGCUGCUGUGGUAAGAAAAAGAACAAAAAGAGCCUGGAGGUAAAGCAUUUCCUUGACAGUUAUGAUUCCUUUUGCUGUGACUGAUCUACCUUUUUGGAAAAGACAGUG